CCUACGGGAGGCUGCAGUCGAGAAUCAUUCACAAUGGGGGAAACCCUGAUGCUGCGACGCCGCGUGGGGGACUGAAGGUCUUCGGAUUGUAAACCCCUGUCAUGUGGGAGCAAAUUACAACACUAGUACCACAAGCGGAAGAGACGGCUAACUCGGCACCAGCAGCCGCGGUAAUACAGGGGUCUCAAGCGGUGUUCGGAAUCACUGGGCGGAGAGUGUGCGUAGGGUGGUGCGUAAGACGUGAGUGAAAGGCGGGGGCUCAACCAGCGGACGGCAUAUGAUACUGCGAGACUAGAGUAAUGGAGGGGGAUGCGGAAUUCUCGGUGGAGCAGUGAAAUGCGUAGAUAUCGGGAGGAACACUCGUGGCGAAGGCGGGUUCCUGGACAUUAACUGACGCUGAGGCACGAAGGCGAGGGGAGCGAAAGGGAUUAGAUACCCCAGUAGUC
rnacentral:rRNA from 1 species